AGUGCUACUAUGACGAUAAAUCAUAUAUCACCUGAGGUUACUAGCCUAUGAAUGAUACAAAUAUAGCAAAUGUCUUUCGCUCCUAUCUGAUUGUAGUUUA
rnacentral:snoRNA from 1 species